GUUUCCACAUGAAGGAUUAGAUACUGCACUGUAUGAGGCAGGUCUAUGAGGCAAGAUGGAAAAGACUAUACAUGGAUUAAAAAAAAAAAAAAAAAAAAGAUGUGGAAAAAAAAGGCAGAAAUAUCAUUAGAUAGUCUAAGAGGAUCAAAUCUGAGGUUCUAAGUGGUAUAACUACGAGAUAAGAGACAACAGCUACCAGUGAGCUACCAGAUGCAGGAUCUCUAAAAAUCAGGUAUUCAAUCAAGGAGGAGGAACAUCUGGAAAUUUCUCUCUUGAGAUUUAACCACUCAUGAAAAACGCAGAAACACUGCUGUGAAUAUGUUGAUUUUCUCUUUGUCUCCACCACUACUUCAGGAAAAUAGUGAAGAAGUUGCUGAUCUGUUUUUCUAAGGCUGAUAAGGGCAGGAAGAAUGAAGAAUGCCAGCAUUGGUACUGAAGAGCUGCUAGGAGAUAUUCUCAUCCAAGAGUCGACAAAAUUAAAUGUUAAAACCUUCUUCCAAGAGGCAGUAUCAGCAGAACUACAGCCUAUACAGCGUCCUCUAAUGCACUCGGGAGCUCCAGAGCUAAAAUGAUGAAAGCUGAUAAUCUAGUUCUGUAGCACACAUGAGAAGACAUGAAUUUUCUGUGGGACACGCGCAAUAGCAGCCAUUUAUCAGUGGGUUAUGUGAAGCUCAUUAAGUACUGUGCAAGUCCUGCAAGUUUUGCACAAUAUAGUUUCCUAGCAAAGCCAGCUGUUCUGAUCUGUCUCACCUUGACUGAGCUGCUGAAGAUUUCUACAAGAAUAAGGGAAAGGAAAACAGUACAAAAGCUUCAGAGUACUUACUAGAUGAAAGUAAAUUAUGUUCAGACUGUUGCAAUCAGCGAUCAGG
ensembl:lncRNA